ensembl:misc_RNA Metazoa_SRP Metazoan signal recognition particle RNA
GCCGGGCGCGGUGGCGCGCGCCUGUAGUCCCAGCUACUCGGGAGGCUGCUGCCGGAGGAUCGCUUGAGUCCAGGAGUUCUGGGCUGUCGUGCGCUAUGCCGAUCGGGUGUCCGCACUAAGUUCGGCAUCAAUAUGGUGACCUCCCGGGAGCGGGGGACCACCAGGUUGCCUAAGGAGGGGUGAACCGGUCCAGGUCGGAAACGGAGCAGGUCAAAACUCCCGUGCUGAUCAGAAGUGAUAGAGUAUAGCAAAUAUUCAGGAUUAUAAUUUUUAAAAUAUUCUUCUU